rnacentral:rRNA from 1 species
AGAUUGAACGCUGGCGGCAGGCCUAACACAUGCAAGUCGAGCGGUAGAGAGGUGCUUGCACCUCUUGAGAGCGGCGGACGGGUGAGUAAUGCCUAGGAAUCUGCCUAGUGGUGGGGGAUAACGUUCGGAAACGGACGCUAAUACCGCAUACGUCCUACGGGAGAAAGCGGGGACCUUCGGGCCUCGCGCCAUUAGAUGAGCCUAGGUCGGAUUAGCUAGUUGGUGAGGUAAUGGCUCACCAAGGCGACGAUCCGUAACUGGUCUGAGAGGAUGAUCAGUCACACUAGGAACUGAGACACGGUCCAGACUCCGUA